UCUCCGUAGGUGAACCUGCGGAGGGAUCACUACAGGCUCGUUAAGGCUCUGAAACCACUGUAUAUCUACCUGAAUCUGCUUCGGGAGUCAGCCCCAGAGCGGCGCCGUAGCCGCAAACCGCCCGCCAAAGACCCCUAUACUAUGUCGACUUGUGAUGCCCUAAGUACUUAUAGUAUACAAAAACAACUUUCAACAACGGAUCUCUUGGCUCUG
rnacentral:misc_RNA from 1 species